UACGUAGGGUGCGAGCGUUGUCCGGAAUUAUUGGGCGUAAAGAGCUCGUAGGCGGCUUGGCAAGUCGGGUGUGAAACCUCCAGGCUCAACCUGGAGACGCCACUCGAUACUGCUAUGGCUAGAGUCCGGUAGGGGACCACGGAAUUCCUGGUGUAGCGGUGAAAUGCGCAGAUAUCAGGAGGAACACCGGUGGCGAAGGCAGCUCGCUGGGACGUUACUGACGCUGAGACGCGAAAGCGUGGGGAGCAAACAGG
rnacentral:rRNA from 1 species